AGGACGAACGCUGGCGGCGUGCUUAACACAUGCAAGUCGAGCGGUAAGGCCUUUCGGGGUACACGAGCGGCGAACGGGUGAGUAACACGUGGGUGAUCUGCCCUGCACUUCGGGAUAAGCCUGGGAAACUGGGUCUAAUACCGGAUAUGACCUCCUAUCGCAUGGUGGGUGGUGGAAAGAUUUAUCGGUGCAGGAUGGGCCCGCGGCCUAUCAGCUUGUGGUGGGUAAUGGCCUACCAAGGCGACGACGGGUAGCCGACCUGAGAGGGUGACCGGCCACACUGGGACUGAGACACGGCCCAGACUCCUACGGGAGGCAGCAGUGGGGAAUAUUGCACAAUGGGACAAAGCCUGAUGCGAGCGACGCCGCGUGAGGAUGACGGCCGUUACGGGUCUAAACCGUC
rnacentral:rRNA from 1 species